UCUUCUUCCGGCUCUCCACACUGCGUGUACACAAAACAGAACAAGAAAAAGCAAGAUGGCGUUCAAUGGAUACGCCGUUGUUUUGUGUUCUUAAUCAGUGCGUGCAUGGAAAAAUGUAUGCUGUUUAAUAAAUUAAACGUCAUAAAUGGCUGUUUGUGUCCGGAUACACUAGUCUGGGCGCACUGAGCUGCUUCUCCUGCUAGCUUAGCUUGUUAGCCGCUAACAAAGAGACGCGGAAGUUAUCAACACAUCGCUAAGCAGAAAUCAAGUGUGAGUGUAAAGUGUUGUGAUUGUGUGAAAAUGUGCGAAAGAACGAUAGCAGAGUACGAGGAGGAACUUUGUCCAACAAAAGAGGAGAAGGAGCGACAAUAUCAACUACUGGACGCUGUUUUCAAGAAACAUCAAGUUGUGUUACACAGAACAGAAGUCCAGCAGCCCCCCUAUAUUAAAGAGGAAGCUCUGUACCCCCCUUGUGUAAAAGAGGAGGAGCCAAAGCCACACAUUAAAGAGGAAGAGGAGGAAGUGUGGAUCCGUCAGGAGGGAGAGUGUCUUCUAGGGCAGGAGGAGGCUGAUCUCACCAAGUUUCCACUGACUGUUGUCUCUGUGAAGACUGAAGACCAUGAAGACAAACCACCCGAGUCCUCACAGCUUUAUCACAGUCCAAUGGAGGCUGCAAAGAAGAACGUUGUAGGUGGGAUCGGUGUAUGCGGCUGGCUGUAGCAACACAACAAGGAGGACUUUGACUUGGAUAGCAGACGCGCUAGCGGCGAACUCACCUUGACUUCCUCCGUCUCCGGGCCGCCGACCGCAUCGUCAAACGCUGGAACGCAGACGUCUGUGAAGAACAUCUUCUCCCUGAGCAGCAGGAGGGGACCUUCAAGAGGGAGCAGGAGGAGCCACAACCCCACCAUAUUAAAGAGGGACAGGCGGAGCCACAGCACUCCCAUAUUAAGGUGGAAAUAGACAAACACAGCAUCAGUCAGUUUCCAGUGAUUGGUGUGAUUGUUAAGAGUGAAGUGGGUGAGGUCAAAGGUGAAAGUGAGGAGAAGAGAGAGGUGGAGCCUCUCAGCAGCAGCUCAACUCAACACAUGACAACAGAAGCUGAUGGAGACCACUGUGGAGGAUCACAAGCAGGCAAGCUCUUAGCUCCACUAUCAGAUAGUGACGACACAACGUCACACUCUCCUGACACUGAUGAUGAAGACUCUAAAGCUGAGAAGACAUGUCACACUGACAACACACACUUUACAUGCCCUUACUGUGACAAAACUUUUAAUCACCGUUUUAGUUUGAAAAGACACACACGACGACACACUGGAGAAAAACUUUUUUCCUGUUCCAUCUGUGCUAAAGGUUUUAUACAGAAUACUGAUUUGGAAAAACACAUGAGAAUACACACUGGAGAAAAACCAUUCAUGUGUUCUAUUUGUAGUAAAAGAUUCUCCCAGAAAGCAAAUUUGAUAAUACACAAAAGAAUACACACUGGAGAAAAACCUUUUAUAUGCUCAGUCUGUGGUAAAUGUUUCAUACAAAAUAAAGAUUUGAAAGUACACAUGAGAAUACACACAGGUGAGAAAGUGUUGAGUUGCAGUGUGUGUGAUGAAAGAUUCUCUUAUAAGUACCAGUGUAAGAAACACAAGUGUGCUGGUGAGAACAGCAGCAGCAAAUGAAGUCAAAAAUGUGAUAACUUUGACUCUCUAACAACAUCAUGUGUGACAUCGUUGUUGUGUGUGUAACAAUCUUGUUACAACGCUUAUAUAAUUUUUGGAAUAUAGCUUUUAUUUCAGGAAAGCGCAUGCAUUAAUAUACAACAUUGUGUACAUUUAUUUUAAAAUAUGUAUUUUCUCUCACUGAAAAUGUGUACAAUAUCAGCUUUUCUGACUGCCCUAAUAUUAACUUGUUUUAAAUUCAUUUUAUAAUAUAGAGUACAAAACUUAUGUUACAUAAAAUAAACAGUGGAUGUGUAUACAGAAUAGAUAGGCAUGAAUACGUUUUAUACUUAUCCAUAACAGUGUUUUUAUAUGAGUUUGUGAAGUAAUGAAGUUUUAAACAUUUUAAUUUAUUAUUGUAAAUGAUUCCAUAGAUGAACACCUUCAUAUAAUAUACAUAUUUGUUCAUACCUUUGCUUUUGAGUACACAUAAAUCUCCCAUAUUAUUAUUUACUUUAUACAUCAUUUGAGCUGUUGUUUUAUACAAGAUCAUUUACUUUUAAUAUGUGUGACUUUAUGAAUAAUUUGUUGGGUCUUGAUAAUCCAAUCUGUUGAUUAUUUUUAUUACUUUAUUUUGUAAUGUGAAUAUUGUUUUGUAAUUGUUUUAUAUUUAUGUUCCCAGACCUUUUAUCCAAUAAGCAAUGUAUGCUUUAACUAAAGUUGGGUACAAUAAAUGUAAUUAUUAUUUAUGUAUUUUGUUAUAUUUAUUAUUUAUUAACCCUGUGAACGAUAAGAAUGGCAACAGCAUUACAACUGAAUGUCAACAAGCUGCACGAUGGGUGUAACACAUUUGUGACGUUCUUAACAGACCAGAGCCAGAAGGCCGAGCUAAAAUGAAAACACCAGAUGCUGCCCUGGACAUUUCCUUACUGGGUGGGUCAGAGGUAGAGACAGUGAUCAAAGCCCUGAAAAAUGGGAAGGCCAGUGGAAAUGUCAGCAUCCAUGCAGAAAUGCUAAACCUUUUCUACUCCACCUGGACCUUAGAGACAAUCCCUGAAGACUGGACUAUGGCUGUCAUUGUAAAGCUUCCCCAAAAAAAGAAAUCCUCAACAUCUGUGACAGCGGUCAAAGCAUCACUUUACUAUCCGUACCAUCCAAAGUGUUGUGUCAAAUCCUCCUGAAGAAAAUUGACUUACCUUUCAACACCAAGCUGAGAUAAUAACGAGCUAGCUUCAAGGCGGGAAGAGUGGGAAUAGACCAGAUUUUUGCCCCGAGCAAUAUGAUCAAGCAAAGCUUAAAAUAAAACUGUUCAGUUUACUCAACUUGAUCAAACUCAAGAAAGCCUUUGACAGUCUGGAUUGGGACACUCUAUGGAAGAUCGGGAGGUCCUAUGGGUUCCCCUUAAAGUGGAAACCUUGAUAGAGUUGUUCUACCAAGACCUCAAAUGCAGUGUCAUCGUAGACGAAAACCCAUUCGAGUCAGAGCCGUGUAUGGAGAAAGUAUGGACAACUCGGUUUCGGAGUUGGUCCCAAACGUGACCAAUAAUUUCAAGAGAUUGUCUGGCCAUAUUCUCUCUGAUUGUUCAAAAGCCCUUCACGUGACUCCAGGGCACUAUGUUUGUGACCAACUUUGAAUCAGAGUUGUCCAUACUGUCCCUAUUCACGGCUCUGACUCGAGUGGUUUUCUGUGAUGUCUGGUGUGAGAUGGGGUUGCAUCAUCUCACCCAUGCUUUUCCUUCUCUCCAUUGACUAUAAUUAUGGACAACACAACAGCAGACAAACCAAAAGGCAUCCAAUGGACUAUAUUGUCUCAGAUCAAGACUUUCUGAUGAUAUAGCUGUUUUGAAAUCCAACCAAAAACGAAUGCAGAAGACAAGGACGUUAAUUAGCUUUGCUAAGACAGGCUCGAACAUCAACACGGCCAAGACACAGACCAUGUUAAUUAACAACAAAUGCGCCUCCCAUCAACGUUGAUUCCAAACCACUUGAAACAGUAAAGGACUUUACCUACCUUGGUAGCAUUGUGCGCUCAGGAAAAAAAAGUGCUUUUGCUGAAAGCUACUUCGCCCAAUCUGAAAGUCUAUGCAAUACAGUUUGCGAACAAGUUUUUAAUUUACAACAGCAAUAUGAAGUCGGUCCCAAUGUAUGGCUUGGACUGUUAAUGGUUUAUCGAGAGCGAAACUAAGAUCUAGGCCUUGUUCCACAUUCUGUGCCUGAGAAGGAUCUGCUGUAUAUUUUGGCCCGACAUCAUCUCAAAUAAGGAGUUCUACAAAAAGUCCAGUUGCAGCAUUUUAGUAAACAAGAUCAGAUACUGACGCAGAGGAUGGCUCAGGCACGAGCUCCGCACGGACCGGCAGCCGAUACUCAAGAAUGCCGACUGGAAGGCGGAAACCGGGUAGGCUGGCGAACACCUGGAAGAAAACCAUUGCCUAACAACUUAAAGAACCAGGUCUCUGUUUAGACUGAGCUUUCAACCGGAAGUCGAAGUGCAGUUCUGUCCUCUAGUCGUCUAUAUAGAGGGCCUCAGAUUUUUGGCUAAAGUAUCCCACAAUGCAUUGCCAGAAGCCAUAUUGAAAGGCUAGCGUCAUCGUUCACAAUAGCGCUACACGUAAUAUUUCCGAAUUAUUCGUCGUUAUAAGGAGCAAACAGCCGUAAUUGGAUGCAAUGAUCCGUACAAGAUGGACAAGUCUGAGUGGAGUAAAGACCAUGACAUUUACCAUGAUGUCUCAUACCUGGACUUUGUAAACUAUUUAAUUUUUCAACCCAGUCCAUUUUACAUCUUGAAGGACUUUCAAAAUGAUAAAAGUUCAGAAAGCUAUGACCGCUUUGAGGCAUUUGUGUUUAUCUGUAUAAACCCAGUGCAUAUUGUGCCGUCAAGACUAGAGUCGUGGAUUCUCGUCACACUGAACAAAAUUCCAAACAAACCGUUUGGAAGAAGUACGAUGGAAGGCAAGAUUGUUUUAUAAAUAUCUCUGCAAUGCCUCCAUGGUUUGAUUUCAAAUGUUCAGGACUUGCACAGAUCCCAAAUACGCAUAAGCAGGUACCAUCCGGUUAGAAAAAGUGGUUUUGUAUAAUAGGGCCCCUUUAACAAGAUUGUGUCAUGAACACAGCAAUGAUGUUACACAUGCCAUGGUGCUAACA